rnacentral:lncRNA from 1 species
CAUACCCACUGGCAUAUGCAAAUUCCCAGGCUAGGGGUCAAAUUGGAGCUAUAGCUGCCGGCCUACACCACAGAAAUGCGAGAUCUGAGCCACAUCUGUGACCUAUGCCACAGCUCACAGUAACGCCAGAUCCUUAACCCACUGAGUGAGGCCAGGGAUCAAACCUGUGUCCUCAUGGAUACUAGUCAGAUUCUUAACCAGCCAAGGCAUAAUAGGAAUUCCUAUCAUCUCUUUUUUUACUCGCUGUCCUUCAGGAUUUCCUGGAAGUGUCUGGAAUCUGGAAUCCAGGGUACUGGGUUCUUCCACCUGUGUGCCUUUAGGUAAGUCACUGAAACUCUGAAAGCACACUGAGGCUUUCUCACCUUCCCAACAUGCACCUGCUCCCUCUGGGAGGCUGGGCAAGCCUCCCCAAGGACGAUCCCCAGCCGGGAAUCCUCCUUGCUCCCCCACCAGGGAACUGAGGGGCCAGAGAGCUCAUGCGCAGUUGGGUGGAGAAGCACCCCCUCCAUGCAUAUUCUAUCUCCAGCCUGACCUCUGUGAUGGGACUGCUCUAACGUGGGUACCACCCCUAACCCCGGUACCCCAUUGGGAGGGGCUGGAAAUACAAGAAGCCUUCUUAUUCAGGAUGAAGGAGCUAAAAGACCAUGAUAGAUUGCCAUGUCCAAGGCCAGACUGGGGCCUUACAAAUUCAUAAUAACCAUGGAAGGUGGGCAUCAUUCAAUCCACAUAACAGACGAAAAACAUUGACUUGUCCAAAGACACCAGCUAGAGAUGUUGGAGCCAGGGUUUGGAUCCUGGGUCUCUGCCUCCACCAUACUUGCUCCUUUUGCUGCACUCCAACUGCCCUGAUUUGUUCAUCAAAAUGACUUGGCAGGGAUAAGAGCAGAUGAGUCAUGCACCCAGGACAACAGGUCAUAAGAAACCUCUUGGACACUGCUUGUCUCACAAAGAGCUGGCAUUGGUGAUGGCAAAACAGCCUCCUCUGAAUGACUCAAUUAGAAAACAAAAUAAAGCAGUACUUAUCACAAGUCAAAGUGUGUGACUGACCGUCUCCAUCUGGUCUGCUCAGACCUUGGGUCCUGGCAGUUCUAGACCCUGGCGCUGGGAGCCGUAAGCUCUAAGUCACAGACAUCUGCAGCCAAGCCAAUGAUACUCUUCUUUCCCUGUUAACUUGCUUUCUGAGAGACAUUUCAGUAAAGAGAAUUCACCUGUGCUCAGGGACCAGCUCUCAGCCAUCCAGCUCUGGACAUGAGGCAGGAACUUGGAAACCUUCCAGGGGAGCCCAGAGAGGGGGUGUCUAGGGGCUGAGCUCAGGCCACGUGAGAGCUUCAGCCUCAGGGAACCGAUGAAGCAGAGGUGCACGGGAAGCCUUCCAGAUUUCUCUGGAGAGUAGACAUAUUGAAAAUGCAAAGGCUGUGAUUUGAUAAGUUAAAUAGGACCCACUGGCGAAGAAAGAGGGAAAGAAAGGAAUGAAGGGAAGUGUCUGGAUGUGGGCAAAGUAAAGCAAACUUCUUCCCAAGAGACACUGGAGGGUGGGUGUGGAAGACUCCAGGCAGUAGCAGGAAUCCUCCCUCCGGGCCUGCCCUGUCUGGUGCAUAGAAACUGAUCUGUUCAGGUGGAAAAGAAGCUACACGGUCCCACAAGAGGUGAGGUGUGGGCACCGUAGGGCAGUGUCUGCAGUGAGCCUGGGGACAGUGUAGGCUCUGAGAGUUACCAUCCUAGGAAACUACAGUGGAGUGAGGCGGAGAGUGGGGAGUAUGGGAGGCGGCAUUGGAGCGAGUAGCGGAGGCCCCACCCAUCCCCUAGAAUGUCUUGCAUGAUUGUGUCAUCAACCAAAAUGUGUUGGGAAACCCUAGUGCAGAGCAUCAGGACCCAUCCUGGGAAAACCUCCAACCCAAAGAGCUUACUCAUCUGAGGCUCUACUGUGACAUCAUGCAUUGUGCAAAGAGCUGGGGUCUCCCACCUCAGAAGGGAAUGUGUGAUGUCAGGGGAAGGGUCUGGAACCAGACUGUGGGCCGCUAGGAAACGCUUGAGAAAUCUCCAGGUGGACAACUGGCCCCUGCACACCAAGUGCUCAAAGGUUUCUAAGGACCAGAAUAAGGCUGGAGCUGGCUCAGAAGGCCUCUGAGCAAGACCUUGGCCACAGGCCCAAUAGACUCUCCAAACAGAGUUGUACUUAUAUAGUAGAAUUUAGAACAAGUAGAACUUGCCCUGCCCUAAAAGGAUAUAUAAACGCAGUAUGAUAGCAGGACACAGUCAGCUGGUGAUAAGGGUAAAGUGCCAUCAAAUCUGAACAAGGGCUAAAAUGACAGGGCGUGAUCCAGUCAUUCAAAACAUAUGAGUGCUGGGCACUGCCUGUCUCAUUCCCUGUGCGGCCCAGGGCCAUAGGGCCCUGGCCCACGUAGAGGGCUCUCAUAGGGAAGAAGAAAUCAGACUCCAUAUUGGAGUCUGACUUAACUGUUUCUUUGACUUUAACCUUUCUAUUCUAUUGCUUUUGCUCAAAGUUAAGAAUAUUGUCUAUAGCCUGAAAUAUACAAGACAGGCUAUUCUCAAGCCUCAGACUUUUCCAUUCAUAUACAGAUAAAAAGUUGCAGAACAGAGAAUAACACUUACCUUCUUGAUGGUUUACUGGAACAUCUGACCUGAUCUACAUGGCAGCUGAAAGAACAAAGGAUUCUGACACCAAGAAGUUUGUAACAACCAACCACACCCCACCCCUCCUUUUAGCAUAAAAGAAGAUGGUUCUUUCAGACAUUAGUCCAUCAUCUUCUCAGUCUGCUGGCUUUUUCAAUAAGGUCACUCUUCCUCGGUCUAACAACUUGUCUCAAUUUAUUGCCCUGUCCUGCAGGGAGUAGUUUGAGCUUGAAUUCAGUAACGAGGUAGCUGGUGCACUCUCUGGUCUGCUGCCCUGACCUCUCUGUGCCUCACCUAUAAAAUGGGGCUAAUGUCACCUGCCACAAGGGUUCAGCCCUUAGAAGUUUGAAGCAAGGAGGUUAGUUCCCCCUUCCCCACUGAGACCAGGCUUGAAGGUGCCAAGGCCUGAAGACCCACUCUACCUCACUGCAAACAAGCAUAUACAUAGCCUGCUGCAGAGACAUGACUCAUGUUUGCCUGAUCUUUCACCAGCUUUUUCAGCCAUGCUGCCCAGUGCCUGAAAUUGCACCACCGUGGCUGGCUGCUAGGGACACACGUCCCAAUCCUGUUGCCCUGUGUAGGAGAUGAUCUGUGUGUGCUCCAUGGUGACUUACUGUUUGGCUUCAAGUUCUGUAGAAUGUCUACUGGGCUGCUGAACCCGCAUCAGAAACCCAGGACCCCAGAAAAGUACUGGUGGGGUACAGCAGCCAGCUUAUCAUGGGUGAAACUCUGGUGUAGCCAAUAGGCCAGUAGGUGGGGAGCCCACUCCCCAGGGGAUCUUAGAGACUGUGUCAGGCCCGCCAGCUGAAGGGGGUGCUCCAGCCAGUGGGUGGCUGCUGUGCCACUGGGGUGUGCCCCUCUGGUUCCAACACUUGUAGGCUCCAGGGAAUUCUUAGAGAACUCUUCACUGAUUUCAGCCCCAAAUCAAGGAAACAUGCAGGGCAGGACCCCCUUAACCCCCACAUUACUGGUCCAGGGGCUACUGGGGCCCUUGACUUCCCUCCACCUUCUAAAGGCCUGCAGUUCCAUGGGAACCUCCGUGGUGGGGGCAGACACCCUGAAAUGAAGCUGGCCAUUAAAGGCAUUGAGAGACUGGAUGAGAAUGAUGCUAAAGAUGGAGAUAAGACAAAGACAGAGGAGGAUGAAGUGGUGUAGAAGAUGGUCAGAAAAUCCAAACAGACUCAGAGUCUGUACCCACCCCCACAGCUGGACAAAUAUGCUUCUCAGGUAGGGAGGGCGCUCUGUGCAUCCUUGGCUGGGGGCUGGUACAGGUGCAUUCCCCUCCUGAGUUCUGGCCCAGGCCAGCUCCCCAUCCUAGGUUCCUUGGCACCUACAUAAGAAGUGGCUAUGUACUUAACACUUCUUUACUCUUUGUCCCCAUCGAGCCAUAAUAGAAGCUGUGUUCUCAAUCUAUUGUCACAUUUAUGAUCCAGAAAGCCCUAAUUUCCUGCAAUAAUCUUAAGUGACAAUUCAAGGCUAAAUGUACUUUAAUGUUUUAUAAUGCUUCUAAAGCAACAUCUCGAAAUUAUAAUAUAGCCCAUGAAAUUACUAGUCUGAGUGAAAGAGAGAAUGAACAACUGGAAAGCUAAAUGAAAAUCUAACAAAUUGAUCUAAGGCUGAAAUGAUGAGGUUCAGUACGUUUCAGUGAUGUGAGAAGGAGAAUACUGACGUGACCUUUGUCAGGUGGACACAUGACCUGGCUGGGGGAAAUAGACAUUUAACUUUAAAAAUGCCUUCUUUUUCUCCCUUCCUGAUUAAUCAAAGAGGAGGCAGCCAGAAUCUUCUCACCUGGAUUUUUCCAGGGUGGGAACAGGAAAGGCAUUUUGUGGGGGGUGGGGUGGGAACUAACUCCCACCCUUGACCAAUGAGGAGAGUUUGAGAGAAGAACCACAGCAGGUAGUAGAGGGAGGGCCUGCUUCUGCCUUCCAGAGGUGGCUCUCUGUUAAUUCCAUCCAUUUUUGUCAACAUAUACUUGGUGCCAGUGUCUGAUGUAUUCCCAGCAUCACUUCUAAGAACAGAUGAGGACCCUGAGGCUCAGAGAGGUUACAGGACUUUUGCACAUGUCCACAGAGAAAGCUGUGUGGCCUGGGUUUGAACUCAGGUUGAAGUUCAAAGCUUAUGCUCAUAUUUUAUAGUAAAGAAAACCUGAAUUUUUGGAAGGUAAUUAAUUAUAUUAAAAAGAUUGCAUUAAAAGUAAUAUUAACAAUAUAAAGAAUAAUUGAAAAGAUACACUGGGAAACUAUAUGACAAAUGCCCAAUAUAAAAUUACCAAAUAUAAAAAGAGCUCUUAGAAAUCAACAAGAAAAGACUAGUAGUCCCAAAGAAAGAUAGACAAUAUGAAUACGCAAAAUGGCAAUAAACAUAUAAAAAAAAUUAACUUUACCAACAUGUGAGAAAAUGUGAAUCAGAAUAGUAAUUAGAUUUCAUUUGUAUCCUACACAAUGGUUUGAAAGAUCAGUAAUAAACAGUAGGUUCAGGUAUGAAUGUGGGGAGGAAGCAUUCCCAUUCACUGUUUAAAAACAAGAUCUGCUCAGCCCCUUUGCAAACAACUUUGUAAUAUUCUCCAAAAUCCAAAGGAAUAUACUAUUUUCCCUAGGA